AGCUCACCAGAGCGUAUUGUGUCCAGGGGCAGAAGUAGAUCUCCAUCUCCAUCCCCAGUGCAACGACAAAAGUCCAGAUCUGCAUCCCCUGUUUUCCCAACUAUAAGCACUCCUACUUCAUCAAUAAACAGACUUGG